GGGGCAUUAGCUCAGUUGGGAGAGCGCUUGACUGGCAGUCAAGAGGUCAUCGGUUCAAGUCCGAUAUGCUCCA
rnacentral:tRNA from 1 species